CGUGAUGGGAAGCCGCAUAGCCGCGGCC
rnacentral:sRNA from 1 species